rnacentral:tRNA from 1 species
GCCGGAGUAGCUCAGUUGGUAAGAGUGCGCCCUUGGUAAGGACGAGGUCCCGAGUUCGAAUCUCGGCUCUGGCU